UUAAUAUGCACGGGGAGCUUGGUAAUGCCAGGCUGAGAGGAGUGUCAUGGGAACACUCGACCCGCGGACCUGAUCCGGAUAAUGCCGGCGGAGGAAAAGCUAUCAUCCUUGAAA
rnacentral:ncRNA from 1 species